ACUAGAGUAGCACUCGCAUAUCAAUAAGCGGAGGAAAAGAAACUAACAAGGAUUCCCCUAGUAACGGCGAGUGAAGCGGGAAGAGCUCAAAUUUGAAAUCUUAAAGGGUUUCCCUUUACGAAUUGUAGUUUAAAGAAGUGUUUUCUGUUGAGGUUUUGGUAAAAGUUCCUUGGAAUAGGACAUCAUAGAGGGUGAGAAUCCCGUAUUUGACCUUUACUUUCAACUUUGUGAUACACUUUCAAAGAGUCGGAUUGUUUGGGAAUGCAGUCCAAAAUGGGUGGUAAAUUUCAUCUAAAGCUAAAUAUUGGCGAGAGACCGAUAGCGAACUAUGUACCGUGAGGGAAAGAUGAAAAGAACUUUGAAAAGAGAGUUAAACAGUACGUGAAAUUGUCAAAAGGGAAGCGUUUGACACCAGUGUUGUUUUUCUGAAAAUCAAUUAAAGAACUGUUUAUGCUAAGUUGUUUAGACUUUAUCAGCUAACUGUUUAGUUUUGAGCUUUUCUUUAAUGCACUUUUCAGUUAACAAGUCAACAUCAAUUUCUUUUGCUGUAAAAAAGCUUGAGGAAGGUGGCUUGAGAUUCGUCUUAAGUGUUUAUAGCCUCUUGCCUAUGCAGUCGGAGAGAUUGAGGUCUGCAGCGUAGAUCCUUCGGGGCUAAAUGCAUUUGUGCUAAGUUAUAGCAUUUUAUAGACAACUUGUUGACUAUGAUUUGUCUUGUAGCUUACUCGCUUAUGUUAUUUUACCUACGCUUAGGAUGUUGAUAUCGCGCUCUCACUG
rnacentral:rRNA from 1 species